rfam:Lupinus angustifolius cultivar Tanjil contig_23610, whole genome shotgun sequence.
AUACCAUGAUGAGGGCAAGCUUCAGUCAAAUCAUUUAAUAUUUCCCAUGCUUCAACAAUUGGCUCCCCAUCCUUUUGACUAAAGUUCUAUAUGAGGU